rnacentral:sRNA from 1 species
AAUUGAGGAACAAAGGCUAAAAGCGCAACGUCCUGUUGCAACGCCUUCGUGACCUACAUCCUGUAGG